GGGUGGUGAAAGUCAGUUGGCUCUGACAGCGGUCUGUAACACCGCGCCGCAAGGGAGGGGUUCGAUGCCCUCACCACCCACCA
rnacentral:tRNA from 1 species